UACGGAGGGGGCUAGCGUUGUUCGGAAUUACUGGGCGUAAAGCGCGCGUAGGCGGCUUUGUAAGUUAGAGGUGAAAAGCCCGGAGCUUAACUCCGGAACUGCCUUUAAGACUGCAUCGCUAGAAUCGUGGAGAGGUGAGUGGAAUUCCGAGUGUAGAGGUGAAAUUUCGUAGAUAUUCGGAAGAAACACCAGUGGCGAAGGCGACUCACUGGGACACGUAUUUGA
rnacentral:rRNA from 1 species